UUACUUACCUGAACGGGGUCAAUGGGCGAUCAAGAACAUGGCCUAGAGCCCUAGACUUGUGACUUCCGUUGCACUUAGGAGGGGUGCUCAUCUAUGGUCUCCUCAUAGUAGGAGAGCCAACGUCAUAAUUUCUUACCAUGGGGGCUUGCGUUCGCGCAGUCCCUAC